rnacentral:misc_RNA from 1 species
GUUGCGUCACAGUUCGGCUUGAGCACGAUCUAUGAGUGACAAUAUACUCGAUGUCCAAGGCAAUGCAACUCAACAAGUGGGGAGUUUGAUUUGGCUUUGACAAAUCAAACGAUCUGCGACAACAUCGACAUCGAUAGUGACGUGAUUUGCCUUUGUAAUCUUAAAACAUUGGUCAAUUUCGUUGUGUUGUUGUUGAUGGAUGGUGGUUACGUUGUUGUUGUUGAUGACAUUCGUCCCAAGGUGACGUGGUGUCAUGUUGCUUGUGUAUUCUAGUUUUAAGCUUUUCGAGCUUGAAACGUGUGGAUAAUCGGUGGUGACAUACAUCACUCCUUUGGUUGAUGAAGGUCGUCCAACGAUGUGGUGGUUUGUUUAUUUUGUUCUCGCAUCGUUCGGUGCAUUCUGUGGUCAUUUUGGCUAUUAAUGGCUUGCUUGGCAAUUGGGCUUUGUGGGUUGCUACUAGUUUGGGUGUCUUCGGGGAUGUCUACCGUAAAGGUGCAUGAGUGGUGUUUGGUUUGUUACGGGUGGUUGGCUCUUUGCUUGCACAACAACUUCCACCUGGCAUACCUCUUCAGUCUUGUGUCAAUGAUUGUAUUGCAUUGAAUGCACGACGGGUUUCUUGUGUUGCAUGCCUAAUUAAUGGUAUCCUUUGAUGAAUUGGUUUCCCUUUUCGUCUUGCGUCGCCUAUGCGAUGUGAGAUGAACCYUGAAGCAGCCUUUGUGAUCCACACUUUUGAUGCAUACGCAUUGAUUUUGUGGCCCAUUAAGUGUUGCUCGGUCUCAUGGAUAUGGAACCUGGUGUGGGCAUGGAAUCGUAAUGGUUCCUUGUUUGCCCAAGUUUAGCUUUCUUAAAMCGAUCGUCU